GCUAGGAUAAUUAGGAUAUUAAAGCUCUGAAAAUAAGAAUCUAAUAAUGAUUUACUAUUUGUUUACUGAUGGUUGAUUGAGAAUAAAUUGUAUAGAUUGAUCGGAUAUGCUAUAAAUGGACUAGUAAAUAAUUGUUACUGAAUUUGUCAUCAUUAGAGUAAGAGUUUCUGAACAUUGAUCAUCUAUUUAUAUAAAAAUUAUUUUAUACAUCGGUGAUUUU
rnacentral:lncRNA from 1 species